rnacentral:rRNA from 1 species
GCAUGGUUGUCGUCAGCUCGUGUCGUGAGAUGUUGGUUAAGUCCCGCAACGAGCGCAACCCCACGUUUAGUUGCUAACGCGUGAAGGCGAGCACUCUAGACGAACUGCCGUUGACAAAACGGAGGAAGGUGGGGAUGACGUCAAAUCAUCAUGCCCCUUAUGUUCUGGGCUACACACGUGCUACAAUGGCCGGUACAGACGGACGCAAAGCCGCGAGGUGGAGCAAAUCCUAAAAAGCCGGUCUCAGUUCGGAUUGCAGGCUGCAAUUCGCCUGCAUGAAGUCGGAAUCGCUAGUAAUCGCAGGUCAGCAUACUGCGGUGAAUACGUUCCCGGGCCUU